rnacentral:rRNA from 1 species
GAACGUUAAGACGGCUUCGGCCGUGUAUAGAGUGGCGAACGGGUGAGUAACACGUGACCACCUGCCCCGCGCUCCGGGACAACCGCUGGAAACGGCGGCUAAUACCGGAUGCGCCCCAUGGCGAAAGCCCCGCGGCGCGGGAUGGGGUCGCGGCCCAUAGGUAGACGGCGGGGUAACGGCCCACCGUGCCCGCGAUGGGUAGCCGGACUGAGAGGUCGACCGGCCACAUUGGGACUGAGAUACGGCCCAGACUCCUACGGGAGGCAGCAGUGGGGAAUUUUGCGCAAUGGGGGAAACCCUGACGCAGCAACGCCGCGUGCGGGACGAAGGCCUUCGGGUUGUAAACCGCUUUCAGCAGGGAAGACAUAGACGGUACCUGCAGAAGAAGCUCCGGCUAACUACGUGCCAGCAGCCGCGGUAAUACGUAGGGGGCGAGCGUUAUCCGGAUUCAUUGGGCGUAAAGCGCGCGUAGGCGGCCGCCUAAGCGGACCUCUAAUCCCGGGGCUCAACCUCGGGCCGGGUUCCGGACUGGGCGGCUCGAGUGCGGUAGAGGCAGGCGGAAUUCCCGGUGUAGCGGUGGAAUGCGCAGAUAUCGGGAAGAACACCGAUGGCGAAGGCAGCCUGCUGGGCCGCCACUGACGCUGAGGCGCGAAAGCUGGGGGAGCGAACAGGAUUAGAUACCCUGGUAGUCCCAGCCGUAAACGAUGGGCGCUAGGUGUGGGGGGACAGCCCCC